ACAUCAUCUGCAUAAUGUGCUUCUUAUCUGGUUAUCACAAGAAAAAUAAAACAAAGCUUAAAAAGAUGCGAAAGGAAGAGCUUAAAGAUCACUGCAAAAGCUUCCAUGGCGCUAGUGGCAUCAAAUGUGCAAAAAAAGGUUGCCAAGUGAGGGCUAGAAAUCAAGGAGAUAUAGGAGCUCAUGAGUUGUAUUGUCAUGGCAUUUAGAGUGUACAUUGAUUCUGCCACAAGAUCAAGUUUUUAGAUAGUUAUUAUGCCAUGUGAAAUCCGCUUGAAUGUAAUCAUUUUGUAGUCUGUGGGGAAUAUUCUUUCGCAUGUACUCUUAAUCGAAUGGAGUUACAUGCAAGCAUACCUCCCUUUGAACUAAGCGAGAUAAAUUUCUUUCGUUAUUA